rnacentral:tRNA from 1 species
AUCUAAUUAGUAUAAUUAAGUACUAUAAGUUUCCAACUUAAAAGUUCACUAGAAUUAGAUA